AUCAGGCGGACUCCCAGCUGGGACCGCGAAGGUGUUCCUGCACGUGCUGGUGCCUCCUGCCAGCUAGUUUCAAUAAGCAGGUCUUCCUGAGGCACAUGGGGGCCUUAUCCAGGUGGCACAAAGAUCCAAAGAGCAAAGAGGAAGAAACGCCUCUGCGGUCUGCAGCCCAGGGGCCCCGACUGUGGCCUGGUUAGGCACCAGCCUUGCCCGCUGAGUGCAUGGGCAGCUCCUCAAACUAGGCCUGUGGUGCUUCCUGACCCUUACCCUGUGUGCACCCGCCCACCUGUGGCCGCCUCUCUCCACCUCUGCGCCCUGCAGGAGGGUCGUGACUGUUACACACCGCUGUGAAGGUGAAGGAAGUGG
rnacentral:lncRNA from 1 species